CCUACGGUGGACAGCAGUCGAGAAUCAUUCACAAUGGGGGAACCCCUGAUGGUGCGACGCCGCGUGGGGGAAUGAAGGUCUUCGGAUUGUAAACCCCUGUCAUGUGGGAGCAAAUUAAAAAGAUAGUACCACAAGAGGAAGAGACGGCUAACUCUGUGCCAGCAGCCGCGGUAAUACAGAGGUCUCAAGCGUUGUUCGGAAUCACUGGGCGUAAAGCGUGCGUAGACUGUUUCGUAAGUCGUGUGUGAAAGGCGCGGGCUCAACCCGCGGACGGCACAUGAUACUGCGAGACUAGAGUAAUGGAGGGGGAACCGGAAUUCUCGGUGUAGCAGUGAAAUGCGUAGAUAUCGAGAGGAACACUCGGGGCGAAGGCGGGUUCCUGGACAUUAACUGACGCUGAGGCACGAAGGCCAGGGGAGCGAAAGGGAUUAGAUACCCGGGUAGUC
rnacentral:rRNA from 1 species